AACGCACCCUCAUUCCUGAGGCCUCUCUCCAGUCAAGACGCUUGCGUGAGUGGUUGUUUAAGUUGAAGAGAGGCAUUAAAUGUAUUUUUGUAAGUAGAAGUACAACCCAGAUUGGUUGGCAAUGCGUGUUGUAAAGACAGCGAGUGUGGUUGAGAGGUUGCCCAAGUCAGAAGAAGUUUGCAAGGCUGAAUCUGCCAGCCUUGAAAUGCAUAUAACAAGCUGUCUAGCAUGGGGAAUGAAGUGUAGUCAAGGAGAAAGGAGGGAAGUUCCAAGCAGUGGUCUCAUUUGCAUGCUCCAAAAGAGGCUUGUCUCAAGUGUCCUGUCCUGUGGGAAGAUAUGGCUGGAUCCCGGUGAGAUUGCAAACUCCAACUGAGAAUGAUGGCUAUGUUGCAAGGCUCCAACCCAUUGAUGUGAAAUGAUACUUGGAUAAUAGAAAAGAUGGCGUCCAAAUGGUGUGCAUAUAAAACUGCAUCCAUUGAUGCAUGCUCCGUCUCCCAAAGAGGCUUGCCUCCCGCGCUGUUGGAACGCCAUGGCUGGAUUCCAAUAAGAUGGGCACCGCCAACACCCACACAGUGGGAUGGAAGAUGGACACAUUCUGUUGCAACUCUCCAACCCCCUUGAUACUUGGUCCUGUUGCUUGAUGGAAAUCUACUUGGCCAUCUUGCUGCUAUUGUGGCAAAGCAAGUUCUGCUGGGCCACAAGGCGGUAGAUGUGAGGAUAUCAACAUCUCUGGAGACAUCUACUCUAACAAAUGAUAAUAGACAAGAUGGUGUGCAUAUAAAACUGCAUCCAUUGAUGCAUGCUCCGUCUCCCAAAGAGGCUUGCCUCCCGCGCUGUUGGAACGCCAUGGCUGGAUUCCAAUAAGAUGGGCACCGCCAACACCCACGCAGUGGGAUGGAAGAUGGACACAUUCUGUUGCAACUCUCCAACCCCCUUGAUACUUGGUCCUGUUGCUUGAUGGAAAUCUACUUGGCCAUCUUGCUGCUAUUGUGGCAAAGCAAAUUCUGCUGGGCCACAAGGUGGUAGAUGUGAGGAUAUCAACAUCUCUGGAGACAUCUACUCUAACAAAUGAUAACGAUGAGAUGGCUCAGUGGUCUGCAUCCUUUGAGUUCUUACGUCAUGUCUGGAGGGAGAAGAGUAAUGCGAUGAAGUUCUGGAGGUUAGAUCCUCAGUGUUUGUAAUGUAGAGGCGUUCCCCUGCUGAGACUGCAGAUGACACCAGGAUCACUUGUGGACAUUGACAGGAUUUGAGGAUGAUGGAGAUGCGGGUUGAAGAGCCUCAGUCAUGAAACUUGAACUGCUUGCCAGGAGGCCUUUCAUUGAGUGGACUGUCUCCUUAGCUGUAUUCUGUGCAUAUGACAAAUCAACUUUGAUUUGAUUCCCCGACGGCGCCAAGAAUCAAGGAAUGUUGGUGGUAUUCCUCUUGGCAUUGUCCCUGGACUCCCUCCUAAAGUAAAGUACUUUGACAACUGCUGAUGUAAAACGAAUUUGGUAACAAAGGCCAUUAUUAUUGGUGGCAAAGUAACUUGUGCUUGCAGCAUUUGAAUAAAGAAUGAAUGGUAA